UUAUUAUAAAUGUAUAUUAAUAAAUUAGGGUAGUAGUAGUUAAGAUCUUGAAACUUAAAAAAUUUGGCGGUAUUUUAGUCUAUUCAGAGGAACCUGUUUUUUAAUUGAUAUUCCACGAUAAAUUUUACUUAAAUUUGUUAAUCAGUUUAUAUACCGUUGUUAUUAAAUAUUUUAAUAGAAUGAUAAUAUUUAUAAAAUUUUAUUUAAUAGUAAAUCAAAUCAAGGUGUAGCUAAUGUUUAAGUUAAAAUGGGUUACAAUAAAUUUAUUUAAAUGAAUAUAAAUAUGAAAAAUUUAUUGAAGGUGGAUUUGAUAGUAAAAUUGAUUAUUUUAUCAAUUUGAUUUUGGCUCUAAAAUAUGUACACAUCGCCCGUCGCUCUUAUUACUAAGGUAAGAUAAGUCGUAACAUAGUAGAUGUACUGGAAAGUGUAUCUAGAUAA
rnacentral:rRNA from 1 species